CACCGCGGUCAUACGAGUGUUGCCCAAGUAGACAGUCUACGGCGUAAAGCGUGGUUAGGGGCCCCUUAAAACUAGAGCAGAACUGCCUCCUGGCUGUUAUACGCACCCGAGAGCAAGAACCCAUAGCACGAAAGUCGCUCUAACCUAACCUGAAUCCACGAAAGCUGGGAAA
rnacentral:rRNA from 1 species